rfam:Streptococcus thermophilus LMG 18311, complete genome.
AUUUGUCGUCUUAUUUGAUUGAAAUAUUGUCCAAUCAAGAGAUACAGCAGUUAAAUCA